CUGAUAAAUAUCUAUCAGCAUACAAAUUGUAUUCAGGGACAAACUGGAUUCGAAAUGGGAAGUUAAAAGAUCCGCAAAGAGUUGUGUAUCAUAAAUAUUAUGUGUGCCAACAUAGUUCAAUAAAUAAGAAAAGAAGUUUUACCAAGACUGAAAUGAAUACAGGAUGUGUUGCAACAAUAGAUGUUAAAAUUAAAAAAAUUACAACGAAAACAAAAAGAAAUGAUGAAUACCUAAAGUUAGAUAUUCCUUUAUGUGGUAUUAUAAAUUUUAAUUUAAAUCAUAACCAUAAUCUUGGCACAAGUGGUAGUUUGAAAUUUAUGAAGCUUUCUGAAGAGACUAAAAAGAUGUUUGAAGGAUAUUUUGAGAAUGGAAUGAGCCCUGCCGAAGCAAGAAGAUACCAUGAAAGUUUGUUAUUAUUGGAUGAAAAAGGUUGGAAAAAAUGGCAGAUGCCUCUCUAAAUCCUACUAAAAAUGCACUUUAUUACCUUCAUAAAAAAUGGACUUUAAGGCAUUUUGGACAGGUAUUUGAGCCAAUACCAAAACUUCAAGAAAAAAAGUUUUAUCAUCAAUCAGGAAUAAAUAUUGAAAUUGCAACAGCCCCAUGGGCAAUAUUGGUAGUUACGCCAAUCAUAAAAAGAGCACAGGAACUGCAGUCCUCCAAGGAACUGAUAUUUUGCGACAGUACAUCAAGUUGCGACACCAGUGAGACCCUUAGAACA